rnacentral:rRNA from 1 species
CUUGAGAGGACUCUCAGAGUGUCCCCGCUAGGGAUCUCUUUUGGCCCCUCUAAAAAUGGCGCAAAUAAGGGGUGGGCAAGUCUGGUGCCCCCCCGCGGU